rnacentral:rRNA from 1 species
GUCUACGGCCAUGCCGCCCUCAACACCCCUGAUCCCAUCUGCCCUUGGAAGAUAAGUGGGGUCGGGUCUGGUUAGUACUUGGAGGGGAGACCACCUAGGAAGACCGGGUGCUGUAGGCA